rnacentral:pre_miRNA from 1 species
CGAACUUCUCUGGCAGGUGCUCGAUAUAAAUCUGGUGCCUAUCAAGGAAAUUAAACUGUUUCCACGACUGAGAUCUGCAUCCGAAUUUCCUUGAUGAGCACCGGAUUCAUGUCGAGAACGUGCAGAGCGCG